rnacentral:rRNA from 1 species
GAGGGGUGCAAGCGUUACUCGGAAUUACUGGGCGUAAAGCGUGCGUAGGUGGUCGUUUAAGUCUGUUGUGAAAGCCCUGGGCUCAACCUGGGAACUGCAGUGGAAACUGGACGACUAGAGUGUGGUAGAGGGUAGCGGAAUUCCUGGUGUAGCAGUGAAAUGCGUAGAGAACAGGAGGAACAUCCAUGGCGAAGGCAGCUACCUGGACCAACACUGACACUGAGGCACGAAAGCGUGGGGGGAGCAAACAGGAUUAGAUACCCGUGGUAGUCCACGCCCUAAACCGAUGCGAACUGGAUGUUGGGUGCAAUUUGGCACGCAGUAUCGAAGCUAACGCGUUAAGUUCGCCGCCCUGGGAGUACGGUCGCAGACUG